UACGUAGGGUCCAAGCGUUAUCCGGAAUCACUGGGCGUAAAGCGUGCGUAGGCGGAUGUUUAAGUGUAAUGCGAAAUCCUGUGGCUCAACCAUAUGGACUGUAUUGCAUACUGGAUAUCUGGAGGAAUGCAGAGGCAAGUGGAAUUACUGGUGUAGCAGUGAAAUGCGUAGAUAUCAGUAGGAACACCAAAUGCGAAGGCAGCUUGCUGGGCAUUUUCUGACGCUAAGGCACGAAAGCGUGGGGAGCAAACAGG
rnacentral:rRNA from 1 species